GCUUCCUGACCUCUCAUGUCUACGCCGCGCAGACCUUUGGGUUUGAAGACUGUUUGUUUCUCGAAGACCUUUCAUUAAAAAAGGUCUGCACGUCCUCUUAUUGGGGCAGAUGUGGACUCAUGUCUUGAAACAUCUUCUCAUUCUUUCUUUUUGCCCAACACAAUCACCCCCAAAAAAAACCCUAGCUCCUUCUCUGUCUCCUCCCUUCUCCCCUCCAUACAGCCACCGCUCCCCUCCUCCUUCGUCCACGCGCCGCCGAAAUCCUUCCGUCGCUGCCUUCCUCCUCCCCUGUCACGCCGCUGCCGCUUAUUCGGUUUUGUUUAGAAUUUCGUGACUUGAUUCGGCGAAUCGGAGUCAUCGGGUUGCUAAAUUGGUCGUGUUCGCGGGUUGGCGGGUUCAAAAGUUUUGUCAUACGAUCAACCCAAUGUGUCGUUGCAUAAUAGGCAAGUGCACGUUGAUGCUGAUGAAGACGAGGUUGAAGCACAAGGUACGACGUCAGGUCGGGAAUAUAUGACUCAGUUACGAGAUGAGAUCGCUGAGCAGUUAAUGCAAAGUAUGGAAUAAAUGAUUUAAAAAAAUGUUAUUGUCUUUUCAUGAAUAUUAUUUCAGUAUUGUAUAACUAUUAUUUAUGUUUGAAUGUUGAAAAACUCUUUUAAGUUAAAUAAAAUCAGUUUAUUUA